ACGGGUGAGUAAUACAUCGGAACGUGCCCAAUCGUGGGGGAUAACGCAGCGAAAGCUGUGCUAAUACCGCAUACGAUCUACGGAUGAAAGCAGGGGAUCGCAAGACCUUGCGCGAAUGGAGCGGCCGAUGGCAGAUUAGGUAGUUGGUGAGGUAAAGGCUCACCAAGCCUUCGAUCUGUAGCUGGUCUGAGAGGACGACCAGCCACACUGGGACUGCGACACGGCCCAGACUCCUACGGGAGGCAGCAGUGGGGAAUUUUGGACAAUGGGCGAAAGCCUGAUCCAGCCAUGCCGCGUGCAGGAUGAAGGCCUUCGGGUUGUAAACUGCUUUUGUACGGAACGAAACGGUCUUUUCUAAUAAAGAAGGCUAAUGACGGUACCGUAAGAAUAAGCACCGGCUAACUACGUGCCAGCAGCCGCGGUAAUACGUAGGGUGCAAGCGUUAAUCGGAAUUACUGGGCGUAAAGCGUGCGCAGGCGGUGAUGUAAGACAGUUGUGAAAUCCCCGGGCUCAACCUGGGAACUGCAUCUGUGACUGCAUCGCUGGAGUACGGCAGAGGGGGAUGGAAUUCCGCGUGUAGCA
rnacentral:rRNA from 1 species